CGGUGGAGGUGAAUCAGAGGUGGUCAGGGUUCAGAGGUGACAGAGGAGAGGUCAGGGUUCAGAGGUGACAGAGGAGAGGUCAGGGUUCAGAGGUGACAGAGAGGAGGUGGUCAGGGUUCAGAGGUGACAGAGAGGUGGUCAGGGUUCAGAGGUGACGGUCAGGGUUCAGAGGUGACAGAGGAGAGGUCAGGGUUCAGAGGUGACAGAGAGGUGGUGGUCAGGGUUCAGAGGUGACAGAGAGGUGGUGGUCAGGGUUCAGAGGUGACAGAGAGGUGGUGGUCAGGGUUCAGAGGUGACAGAGAGGUGGUGGUCAGGGUUCAGAGGUGACAGAGGAGAGGUCAGGGUUCAGAGGUGACAGAGGAGAGGUCAGGGUUCAGAGGUGACAGGAGAUCAGGGGGUCAUUCAGGGAGUAUUCAGACCCCUUCCCUUUUUCCACAUGUUGCCUUAUUCUAAAAUGGAUUUAAA